rnacentral:rRNA from 1 species
CACGUAGGGGGCGAGCGUUGUCCGGAUUUAUUGGGCGUAAAGAGCUCGUAGGCGGUUUCGUAAGUCGGAUGUGAAAACUCCAGGCUCAACUUGGAGACGCCAUUUGAUACUGCGAUGACUUGAGUCCGGUAGGGGAGUGUGGAAUUCCUGGUGUAGCGGUGAAAUGCGCAGAUAUCAGGAGGAACACCGGCGGCGAAGGCGGCACUCUGGGCCGGUACUGACGCUGAGGAGCGAAAGCGUGGGUAGCAAACAGG